rnacentral:sRNA from 1 species
ACUACAUAAUUGUCGAAUUUCCGUACAUGGAAAACGGGGGAACCAUCUUGGGUGAAUUAAUCUUGCAAUUAAAGGAUUAUAGGGCACCUUCAACCGAACCCUUAGCUAACCUCGUAGGCAGCGAAGGGAGUAUAU